UACGUAGGGCGCGAGCGUUGUCCGGAAUUAUUGGGCGUAAAGAGCUCGUAGGCGGCCUGUUGCGUCCGCUGUGAAAUCCCGGGGCUUAACCCCGGGUCUGCAGUGGAUACGGGCAGGCUAGAGGCAGGAAGGGGAGAACGGAAUUCCCGGUGUAGCGGUGAAAUGCGCAGAUAUCGGGAGGAACACCGGUGGCGAAGGCGGUUCUCUGGGCCUGUUCUGACGCUGAGGAGCGAAAGCGUGGGGAGCGAACAGG
rnacentral:rRNA from 1 species